rnacentral:rRNA from 1 species
AACGAACGCUGGCGGCGUGCCUAACACAUGCAAGUCGUGCGAGGAACGGGGGGGCAACUCCCCUAGUAAAGCGGCGCACGGGUAAGUAACACGUAGGUAACCCUACCCCCGAGCCUGGGAUAACCUACCGAAAGGUGGGCUAAUACUGGAUAUGACCACGGGUAAUUUCGGUUCUGUGGUGAAAGGUGGCCUCUGCUUGCAAGCUACCACUC